AAGUUUGGCUGCGAAAUGUUGUAAAAUGAGGAAAAUAUAGCCCUACGAAAUUUGCAAAUUUUGUAUUAGGCUAAUUUGUAUUCGGCAAGGGAAAAUGCACCACUUUUCGACCCAAUUGUGGUGCAUUUUCCCGCGCGUAAUAUAAGUUAAUACAAAAUUUGCAAAUUUCGCAGGGCUAUAUUUUACGCACUUUACAACGUUUCGCAACCAAACUU